GGAGAAGGACGGAUGGCCGCCGGUCCACCUCGGCUUGGCCGGGGCGGACGGGAGGAAAGUCCGGGCUCCGCAGGGCAGGAUGGUCCCUAACGGGGACCGGGGGCGACCCCAGGGAUAAGUGCCACAGAAAUCAGACCGCCCGUCGGCGUCUUCGCCAUUGGCGGGCAAGGGUGAAACGGUGAGGUAAGAGCUCACCAGUUCCGUCGGUGACGGCGGAAGCUAGGUAAACCCCAUCCGGAGCAAGGCCGAAUAGGGGAGUGUUCGAGGGCGGCCCGUCCGAGACUCCCGGGUUGGCUGCUUGAGGCUGCCGGCAACGGCAGCCCUAGAGGAAUGGUCAUCGCCCCGCCGGCGGGCAACCGCCGCGGGGAACAGAACCCGGCUUACGGACUUCUCCAGCC
rnacentral:RNase_P_RNA from 1 species